CCUACGGGAGGCAGCAGUGAGGAAUAUUGGUCAAUGGGCUUACGCCUGAACCAGCCAAGUCGCGUGAGGGAAGACUGCCCUAUGGGUUGUAAACCUCUUUUGUCAGAGAGCAACACCGGCUACGUGUAGCCGGACUGAGAGUACCUGAAGAAAAAGCAUCGGCUAACUCCGUGCCAGCAGCCGCGGUAAUACGGGGGAUGCGAGCGUUAUCCGGAUUUUUUGGGUUUAAAGGGUGCGUAGGCGGAAUGCCAAGUCAGCGGUAAAAUCGCGGGGCUCACCCCCGCUCCGCCGUUGAAACUGGCGUUCUUGAGUUGGCGAGAAGUACGCGGAAUGCGCGGUGUAGCGGUGAAAUGCAUAGAUAUCACGCAGAACUCCGAUUGCGAAGGCAGCAUACCGGCGCCAAACUGACGCUGAAGCACGAAAGCGUGGGUAUCGAACAGGAUUAGAUACCCGAGUAGUC
rnacentral:rRNA from 1 species